rnacentral:rRNA from 1 species
AACGAACGCUGGCGGCAUGCCUAACACAUGCAAGUCGAACGAGACCUUCGGGUCUAGUGGCGCACGGGUGCGUAACGCGUGGGAACCUGCCCUAAGGUUCGGAAUAACUCCCCGAAAGGGGUGCUAAUACCGGAUAAAGUCUUCGGACCAAAGAUUUAUCGCCUUUGGAUGGGCCCGCGUUGGAUUAGCUAGUUGGUAGGGUAAAAGCCUACCAAGGCGACGAUCCAUAGCUGGUCUGAGAGGAGGAUCAGUCACACUGGGACUAAGACACGGCCCAGACCCCUACGGGAGGCAGCAGUGGUGAAUAUUGAACAAUGGACGAGAGCCUGAACCAGCCAUGCCGCGUGAUGGAUGAAGGCCUUAGGGUUGUAAAGCUCGUUUAACCGGGAUGAUAAUGACGGUACCGGGAGAAUAAGCACCGGCUAACUCCGUG